UACGUAGGGUGCAAGCGUUGUCCGGAAUUAUUGGGCGUAAAGAGCUCGUAGGUGGCCUGUCGCGUCGGCUGUGAAAACUCGAGGCUCAACCUCGAGACGUCGGUUGAAACCGUAUGGCUAGAGUCCGGAAGAGGAGAGUGGAAUUCCCGGUGUAGCGGUGAAAUGCGCAGAUAUCGGGAAGAACACCCGUGGCGAAGGCGGCUCUCUGGGACGGUACUGACGCUGAGACGCGAAAGCGUGGGGAGCGAACAGG
rnacentral:rRNA from 1 species